AAUGAACGCUGGCGGCAUGCCUAACACAUGCAAGUCGAACGAAGGCUUCGGCCUUAGUGGCGCACGGGUGCGUAACGCGUGGGAAUCUGCCCCUUGGUUCGGAAUAACAGUUAGAAAUGACUGCUAAUACCGGAUGAUGACGUAAGUCCAAAGAUUUAUCGCCGAGGGAUGAGCCCGCGUAGGAUUAGCUAGUUGGUGUGGUAAGAGCGCACCAAGGCGACGAUCCUUAGCUGGUCUGAGAGGAUGAUCAGCCACACUGGGACUGAGACACGGCUCAGACUCCUACGGGAGGCAGCAGGGGGGAAUAUUGGACAAUGGGCGAAAGCCUGAUCCAGCAAUGCCGCGUGAGUGAUGAAGGCCUUAGGGUUGUAAAGCUCUUUUACCCGGGAUGAUAAUGACAGUACCGGGAGAAUAAGCGCCGGCUAACUCCGUG
rnacentral:rRNA from 1 species